rnacentral:rRNA from 1 species
AUGCCAAUUCUUUUCUCACAAGAGCUGCUCAUCUCCGUAGUGGUUGUGCUGCUUGUUCCCCUCUACCUGUACCUCAGGGCUAGUUGUAGAUCAAAGAACCCAGCAGUGCUCCCAACAAACUGGCCAAUACUGCACAUGUUCCCUUCCUUAGUGGCCAACAUCCACAACAUCCAUGACUAUGGCACCCUGGUCUUCGCUGGAUCAGGCCACAACUUCAGGGCGCACAGCCCACCCGGGACUGGAAUGCGAUUCUUCGUCACAUGCGACCCUAGGAACGUUCGACACAUCUUUACAACCAACUACACCAAUUUCCCCAAGGGCGCGGAGUUCGCUGCUAUCUUCGACAUCAUGGGCGGCAGCCUCUUCACCAUCGACGGCGAGCCGUGUCCUAGGCAGCGUGCCAAAGUCAAGGGCGUGCUCAGCAAUCCACGGUUCGUUGCUAGGAUUGCGGCUUGUUGCCGUGACAAGGUGAAGAACAUCCUGCUCCCUUUAUUUACCCACAUGGCGAGCACCGGCACCCCGUUCGACAUGCAAGAAAUGAUGUCGAGGUUUAUGUUUGACCUGGCUGCUACGGCUCUCUUCAGCGUGGACCCGGGCCUCCUAUCCCCGGACAUGCCACCCAUGGACGCCGCAGUCGCCAUGGAUAUAGUCAUGGAGGUGGGUUUUCUCCGACACGUGAUGCCGGCUUCUUGCUGGAAGUUGAUGAAGCAGCUAAACAUCGGCCCUGAGAGAAAGCUUCGCAUGGCGCACAGGGUGCUACGAGUGUUCGUUGUGGAGAUGAUGAAGAGGAGGAAGAUCAACACAUGUCAUGUUGGUAACGACGAGGAACAAGAUGGUGUGGAUUUUGUGUCUUCGUUCCUCCAUGACCCUGAGUAUGCUGAUGAUGACUUGUUCCAUGCUAUGAUGAUUGGUUACAUGGUCGCUGCAAGGGAUACAGUUGGAACUACCCUUACAUGGUUCUUCUACAACCUCACCCAGAACCCUAAGAUCGUGCCAAUCAUCCGCAAUGAACUCUCACCCAUUGCAUCAAACAAAGUAGCGUCUAGGGUAGGUGCCAUGGUGAUCUUUGAACCGGACGAGACCAAAUCUCUAGUGUAUCUGAGAGCCGCCUUGUACGAGACUCUCAGGUUGUACCCACCGGCGCCAAUCGAGCGCAAGACGGUGUUCGGCGAUGAUAUCAUGCCAAGUGGCCACCAGGUGCAAGCCGGCGACACCAUCUUUAUUUCUCUUCACUCCAUGGGUAGAAUGGAGGGCUUGUGGGGUAAAGACUGCCUCGACUAUAACCCAGAUAGGUGGCUCUCGGAUGAUGGCAACAACCUGAAGUAUGUACCAUCUCACAAGUUUUUAGCCUUUAACUCAGGCCCGAGAAUGUGCCUCGGAAAGGACAUCGCUAUUAUGCAGAUGAAGACUGUCGUCGCCACAAUGGUGUGGAACUUCGAUGUGCAAGCAGUGGAAGGGCAGAGCAUUCAACCCAAGCCGUCUUGUAUACUGGAGAUGAAGAAUGGGCUCAUGGUUAAACUGAAGAAGCGAGAAAUUUAA